AAAGUGCCAUGCGUAUGCCUUUUCACAUAACUCUCUGAACAUUUUCACAUAACUUUAUAUCUCUUUCAAUUAAUUUUAUAUCAUUUUCAUGCGAACACAAUCCGCCCUUUUCAUCCUGUAAGAUAACAGGUCACAGUUGCUUCUUGUUCUUGCGUAGGAUGCCUGCUAUCUCAAGUCCUCAAGGUCGUAAGGCUGUACCUCCUUAACCAAUACACACACACUCAUUGUAACUCUAUAAAAACUGUUAGCUCUCUUUGUCUGCAGAUUCACUCUGUGCAGACCUUUUUGACUGUACCUUGUGCUCUCCUAAUUGCAAUUAGAAUACACCUUUUUUGCUUAUGCUCCAACGACUCAGUCAUCUUUCCUCCUUAUAACGAUUUUUGCCACUACAUGUAUCUUUGUCAUACCAGCGAUUAUUCCACUACCCAAAUGAGAUAUAUACACAACUUGUACUUUUCACAUUUCCUGUGAAUUAUUUAUGAAAUGCUUGUUUUAGUUUGUCUGAAUUAAGUUGUGAGAGAUUUUCAAAGCAAUGGAAAGAACCACUUGAAGUAGUGAGGGUCAAAUUACAACACCACAUUUCUGUAACCUUGUGAAAUCCUCAUGACUUAAAUUAGCUCAUAGAGCUAACAGUUCCUAGUUCACUUCCUACUAACGGUCACCAUACAGUAGGUUAGUUCUGUUUUUUGUUGUUCUCACUUUGCAGCAUUUUUCCCUUGAUCGUUGUCCAUUUGUUGACAGAUUGCUGAAGAUAAUUUCUUUAUUUGCUUGUGUUUAGUCUACUUACAUGCGUAUGUGUCUUUUUUGGAGAAGUUCUUAUCUUUGGAAUUCUAGUGAGGACUUGCAAAACUAUCUGACGGCGUAUGUGCAGUUUUUUGCCAACACAGAAAACUCCACUUCCAUUUUGGGUGUGAGACAGCGGACUGAAAGCAGACCAACUGGAACAAAGACAAGGAAUAAUUAAAGUAAUGUUCAAGGAUCUGAAGAAAAAAGAUCUCCAUCGAGUGUGUUGACAAUGCAGGUGGAUUUCUUGGUGUGGUCAUCUAUGAGGAUAAAACAUUCCCUAUUGCUUCGCAACAGGGGCCUGCUUUUGGUGCUGGACAUGGACACCAGAGGUUACUGUAGUUUACAGAUUUGUCUUACUUUCAUCAUCUUGAAUUAAUGUCUCUCUGGAUAUGUGUUGUUGCCACUAAUCUAUCAAAUGUUUUUGUCUCUCUGUUGUAUAGUUUUGUGAGACCUUUCCAAUCCCCUCAUGAGGAUGAGGCCAUGGAGUGUGAUCCUCCAGUCACUAAAACUGAUUCAAAUGGGAGGUAAAGUGGGCUUGGAUCUUCGCUUUAUCAAUUACAUUUUUCUUGAUAGACCUUUUAUCACAAUUAUAAAAGGGGUAUAUAUAUUAAGGGGCAUAUAGAAGGGCAACAGUAGAUGUCAAACAGAAGUGGUAUAUCAUCUGAAAGCUGUGAACCUGAAGAUUAAUUUGAAAUGCAGCUCAGUACUGCUGUUCUAGUCAUGAAUCUGUAAUUACCAUGCUGUUUUAGUGAGGCACCUAUUCAAAUUCUGAGUGUUUAUAGUUUGUAAGGGCCUAAAACAUUAAGAUGGAAGUGUAUGAAGUCCAUUCUCGUGCUCAGUUACGUCUGAUAUGUUUGUAGCAGCAUAUUUUGGUUUGAUAUCAAUUUAUACACAGAUUUGGUGCUAAAUUUGACCAUUUUUGAGGACUCUGGAAUUGGUAAAAACUAGGCAUAAAAUCCUCCAAAAUUCCACAUUAAGACACAAAGACCUUGAUCAACACCAAAGAACAAUCAAUGCUGUGAUUUGAUAUCAAAAACUUUUUUGGGGACAUUUUGGGGAUUUAUAUACCAUUUGUAUUUUUCAACAAUUGGAUGGCAAACACAUACCUAGGUAAGCUUUACAUCUUCUGAAAGCUCUAGGUCGCUCUAGUUUGUAGUUGAAAAGUUUCAUGAGGCUUCGAUAUCCCGGAGGCCACAUACAUAAUUAGAAUGAUAGAUUAUUAUCAUAUUCUAACUCUGAGGUCACAGCAGGUAAUUUUAUACAGUGAGGUCACAUUUAAAAAAAAUGCUCUCACUACAAUCAAAAAGGCUAUUAUGCAGACUAACAUCAUCACAGGUGAAUAAAGUUGGGACCAUUGAAUCCACAACAGCCACAGUUUUCUAGUCUUCCCAAUUUAUGCAAUUCAAACAUUGUUUAUGGACCCCAGAAACAUUUAAAUAUAUCAUUGCUAGAAUAGGAAAAAAUAACACAUUUAAACUGUGUUAAAGAAACUGCAUUUUUUAACGUUUUGUUUUUGCCUAAAAAUGCAUUGGAUAAUCAUUCCUAUCUGAAAAGGGUAGACCUUUGGGUGCCCAUAGAACUCAUUUUAAUUCAGAUAGCUUGAUGUCAGCGUGACCCCUUUGAAAAUGGCAAUGUCAGGUUUCCCCCCAAAAAAUGCCUAAUAUUGCACAGAAUGCAUUUACAGUAAUGUGCCAAAGAUACAGUAUCUUACUGCGCCACCUACUGUGUUAUAAAUGUGCUAUAAAUGUGCAACUCUAAAAAAAAUACAGUGUAUAUGGAAAAAUGUCAAUAUA